GUUGUGGGAUUUACAGGGAUACGCUAAGUAGGGAUGCCAGGGAUCGGUAUGUGGACAAAAUCGGCACUAUUAACGGUUUGGAUCAAUAUGAAAAUCCCAACAAAGAGUGGAGCACCGACGACGAGUUGCUGCCGCACUUUUGCAUUACAGAUAUCUUCGGCUACCUUGUUUGUUUUGUGAGCGCCUACACUUCAGAACAGUUCCGAAGCUACAAGUCAUUGGAGUCUCAUGUGCAGUUCACAAAUGGAUGGGUUAGGGAGCUGCAGAUCAUAAAGCCGGCAAACAGUAUACAGUAAUCCAGACAAAGGAGUUCGGGAAGUGCACAGGAAGAGCACACACCUCAGCAGUCCGGGACUAGGAGGAUACGGAGACACUAGGAGAAACACAGGAGAUAAAACUAUUCUGGAGAACAUGAGCCUGCUGCUGAAGGACUUAAACAAUACAAAGGCUGUCUUACAGGGCCACCGGCACCCAUACAGAGGGAUGGAGGAGCGACCUCUCAUAUGGACAUUAUUGAAGAGACAUUACAGACUGCAUCAAGGGAAGGUCCCGCUAGCCCACCUGUUUCACAGACUGAGUAUUUGAGGCGGUCUACACAGGCCACAAAGGGCCUGUUGCUUCUACGAGUGGAAAAAAAUAAAAGAGCCCAGAGAGAAAUUGGAGAGUGCCUGUCCAGUUGUUCCAGGUGACCAAGUAUAUCUGAGGGUAUUCCGGAUAAAGUGGAAUGAGCCCAGGAGAGAUGGACUGUACAAAGUGGUGAGAGCUACUCCAACAACAGUCCAAGUGGAGGGAAGCACGACCUGGUAUCAUCUAAACCACUGUACUAGAGUUCCCACGGGAAAGGCAGAAAGAAAAGAAAACAGAUAAUCAGACGAACUGGAGAGGACAGAGAAUGAGUCUGACAACAUGUCUGAAGACCAUCCUAUGCCUAAUGCAUCUAAUAAUGCAAACCCAAAC
ensembl:lncRNA